CGCCAACAGCGCCUUCCUGCCCACAGACUCGCCGACAGGCGCGAGCGUCUAGCACGUCGCUGGGCGGGACUUCCGGCACCUGUGCUCACCUCCCUGCCUUCGCCCCCUUUCUGUCGCAGCUGCACCAGGAUCUUGCUAUGUAGCCCAGUCCGGCCUCGAACUCACAGUGAUCCUCCUGCCUCAGCCUCGGGAGUGCUGGGAUUAAGCAGGCUCCUGUCUGACUGAUGGCAGCAGCUCUUUUAGGGAGGACAUUCGUGCUUCAGGCCUCCUGGCCGCUUUCCCUUUGUCAAUGACCUGGACAGCCCGCAGCAAACCCUCUCGCAAGGCGGUGUUCUUCACCACCCUGGUGAUCAUGAAGGUGGCAUCUCCGACGUACGUGCGUCUGGCUGUGGCGGCGUAGUGGUCUGCCUUGCUGCCGUGCGCCAUGAAGAAGGCGCAGAGCGCGGCCACAUCUCCCUCCUGCAAGCCUCUCUCCUCCAGGACUGAUUCCCAGGCCACUCUGACGCGCUGGUUCUUGACUUUUCGCCGAAGGACAGAGGUGAAGAUUCAUUCUGUGACUUUGGGGAACAUGAACUCAGCGUAUCUGACAUGCAGCAGGUUAGGAGUUACGUAUUUUCCCCAUAUCAUUUUGAAUGUUCCACCAUGAUACUUGGAAGGGUCUCAAUAUGUAGUUUGUGAGGAGCAACUAAAACUGGAGAUGGAUCACCAUGUGUGGGACUAAAUCAAGGCCAGCCCUGAGAACACAGCCCAAAACAAGCCACAUAAACAAGCUGUUUAAGCUCCAAAAAGGUAAGGGACCAGGCCAACCAGGCAAACAAGUUGCUAGGCAGAGGGGUUGAAACUGACAUCAUCCUCUUGAGUGUAGAAAUAAAGGUGCUAUGGUGGUUAUGCAGCAGUUUGUCUCCCAUCAGGAGAGAGGGCUUCACUUGACUCAGAUUCUGACUCCUUUCUUCAUUUUCUCAUCUUUUCACUGUCCUUUCCCUUGGGAACUCAACAGCUGCGCUGAUACACAGCUGUAGUUCACGUUGUUCUUGAAUUCACUUGUGUAGCCAGGUUGGCCUUGAACUAAAGGCAAUCCUUUUGCCUCACCCCCAAGUGCUAGGAUUAGAAGUGUAUACCACCAUACCUAGCCAUUUAUGCUUGUCUUUAAUUUUUUUGGUGCCAGGGAUAGAACUCAUUACCUCGUGCUUGCCAGGCAGGUGCUUAUGCCACUGAGUAAAUCCCCAGCCUCAGUCUUAAUACCUUCUUUUUGUCAAAUGAUGGUAAAUUGGAGAACAUGGGAAGAAAAAAAAAUUUUUUUUUUGUACCAAGAAUUGAACCCAGGACCUCAUGUUUGCCAGACAGGCACGUACACUGCUAUAUCCCCAGCCUGAUUAUGAUGUUUCUUUCAUGUCUGCAGGAGGGACCUGUAUUCUUGUUUUGAGUGUGGACUUAAGUAGCUGCUGAAUUUACUGGUGUUCCUACCUUGACCAGUUUGACUUGUUUGGAUGUUGUGAUUAUUGUCUCAUCUCAGACAGUGCUAGGGAAGAGUUAUGUUAGAACAUUCCCUAGUGGAAUUUGAUACUAACCAAAAUGUGAAUUUGUAAAAUGCUGUAAAAUUUUUUUUAAAUAAAAUCUAGUUCAUGAAAUAUAAAUGCUUCUUACAAAUUCAGGACCUUGGGCUGGGGAUUUAGCUCAGCAGCAUAAAUGCCUGGCAAGCACAAGGUUGUGAGAUCAUGAGUGAGUGAGUUCGAUCCUCCAUACCAUCAAAAAUGAAUAAAUUUAGGACCCCUCCAUUCUCACAAAAGUUGAGGAAAAAAAAUUUUAGGACCCCCUCAGCUGGUUAUUUGCAACGGUGCAAUUGCUUAUCUUAAAUCUAGGACAGGAUUCACUGAUACAUUCUGGUUUGAUCCCCCUCCAUGCUCACAGAAGGGAAUAUCAAGCAUAUUCUGCCUCAGUUUCCUUUUUGGUCUUUCUGCUGCUGAGCAGGCAAUCUUAGCUCUUAUGAUAACAAAUGUAUCAGUGACUUCUUUGCUCUAGGGUCCAGGGUUUUGCCAAGUCACUACUUGCCUCUUUAUCUAGAAGUGUCCUCUUUUGCAUACAGGAAAGUGCUGCAACCACUUCCAAUCUUUUUGCCUCACUUUUCAAAGAACUGGAAGGCAGCUAUUCAGUCUCUUCAUCAUUGGUUUAAUUUUGCUAGCAAUGCUUCCUUCUUUAACAUGGCUGUUAGAGUGGGAACCAGCUGUGGCUUGUGCUUUUGGAAAUACACUUUGGAGUUAGGAAUUUGAGUUUCUAGAGAAGGUAGAGGCAUGCAUCGGGAAGAGUAGAUAGUCCAGCCUGACCUAGCUUCUGGUCACUCUUCAGAUAGCAGUCCCCUACCCUGGAGCAGGGGAUACCUUGAGGGCACAAAAAACCAUGCAGGAAUUAAAAGGAAUGCCUAUUUUUUCCCUUUUUUUCGGGGGGGGGGGAACUCAAUGUCAAAUUCUCUUAUUUCUUUGGAAUGUGAAAAGUAUGAAAAUUUAUUCAACACUCAUGUAUUGAGACAUAAAAAUUUAACAUUUUUCUACACCUGUACAUGGCCUGUCUACACGCUACAGAUGAAAUAGAAUGCAGAGGGAAGUAUUGAUUGUGAUACUAACUUGUACACAAAACUAUAAGAGAGAGAGAAAAUGGCCAGAAAUAUCUUAUGUUCCAACUUUCGUUGCAUUAAGACAGUCCUCAUGUUUUUGGACAAGUGCUCUCCUUGACUUGGCCUUUUAAAAAUUUUCCCCAAGUCACAGUCCUGCAAUAUGCACAUGAUAUACUAUUCACUAGUGAUUUUCUUUUCAAUAAACAGAUGCCUCACCUCCCUAGCUAACAUCCAACAGAUUCUUCAACAGCUAACAGAAACAAGAAAUAUGCUGAGGUUCUGAACAAGGGAAGCCUCUAGCUAAACAUGAUCCAAGGCUCACAGGCUCGUGAGGAAGGGUGCCUGGGUGCAUGGUGACAGUGGCUAGGCUAGCUCUGGUCCCUUCUGCAUACCUCCAGUUGGCCGCCGCUGAUGCUAGACAGGGUUAAGUCUAGGGGAAACCUUAGAUUGGGUACAGAGCGAAAGGUUUAGACAGGGAUGCCUUCUUCCUCCUUCUUUUCAAAAUGGGUAAAAAAAAAAACUGUCAUAGGUAGAUAUCUUCAGCAGGGUAGACUGGAGCCUUGGCAGGUCUUCUACUCCAUUGUGUAGAAUAUAUAUUUAACUCUUUCAACACCCAAAUCUGACUGUACACCCUCCUCCUGGAAAUAGCUAAAAUUAUUAUUUUUUUAAGUUUGCCCCUUUAGAGGGAAUAAUUACAUGUGGUUAUCAAAACAGCAGUUUGGGCUAUGAAAACAACAAUGAGAAGCCUGUAUAACUGGGUAUUCCAAUCAGAGAAAACCAGCCUAGGGCCUGUCUUAAAAACUGCUUUUGUUUUCACAGGUAUAAAUAAAAUGCUUUGAUUUCUUAUGAUUCUUAUUACUAGAGAUCUCUGUUAGUUGACCUACAAAGUCUAUUUAUAAUACAACCUAAAAACUGUAAAAGGGUCAUUGUAAUCUGACUUGGCCAAAUAAAUCUGAGUGCGCUCUGCUUUACAAACAACUGUUUAAGUAUGCUUGUCCAUUUGCCUGUUGAAUCUGUAACCGGUUACAAUACCUAUAGCUGUUUUGUUUGAGCUUGACAAUAUUUUUUUUUUUUUUGUACUUUGAGAUUUCCAUGGAAAACAGUUAACACAGGUUAAAAUCUUUGUAUCCACAACUUAAGUUGGCUUACAGAUAAAGUGUCAUUAAAGUUAAGGACAUGCUUUCACCCAGGUUGCCAGUCAAUCCAAAUGAUGUUGAGAUUGGUUUUACAAAUGCAGUGCCUAUUGUCUACAAUAACUGGGAGUUUUUCACUGAUCAAAAAUAAUGGGCUGUUGGGGUAAUCAGCAUGGGCCAGGAGAAAAAUCAGCCCAGUUUGUGUGCAUGCUAGGUGCCACUUGGACUCUCCCCAGGGGUAACCAGUACAGGUGGGAAGAAGCGACCAGCCCCAACUCUACAAGCAGGUCACCACUACCUUCAGGGACCUGUAGCCAAUGUGGGCCAGCUACACCUUGAAGAAGCAUUGAGUGUCUGGAGAAGCCUGCCCUACACCCUACCACCUCCCUGGAAACUUGUAUUAGGAGAAAACUAGGUAACUGAUCCAUCCCCCUCCACCGUGGAUGGUGUGCUCGGAACCCCACAACCCACUUGUCUGGAGGAACCCAGGAAGAUGUCAAGAUGAAGGAACAAAAGGCUGUUUGGGCCUAUAGCUAUAGGCCCAAACAGCACAAGUCCAGGAGACACGGACAUGCACACCUGGAAUUUCUGAUGAUGGCAAUUGAAAUAAAGGAACUACUUCAUAAGGCUGUAAAAGAAAUCAGAUCAGCAGUAAUAUCUCAGGUAAAGAAGAAAUGAUUAACAUAAUAAAAUGGCUGAGCAUAUCCAAAGAAGACACAGAUUAAAAAAAAAAAAAAAGCAGCAUAGGAGAAUAAGGGAAACCUUGAAUGAACAAUAUACAGAAGAAAUGGAAUUCAUGAAACAGACUCAAAGAUAUACAAGAAAUUAAAAACUCUACUGAAAGCUGGCAAAACCAUCGGAAAGAAACUGAAGAUGGACUUUCAAAGCUUAAAGACAGGAUGGCAGCUAGUGACUAUAAAAGGACGCAUCUCUUAAAAAUAACAAGGAACCAGGAAAUAAUUCAAUGGUUGCAAGAUGAUGCAAAGGAAAAUAAUUUAAGAGUGACAGGCCAGCAAAAAAGCAAGUUAACACAAAUGACAUGCUGGGGAUUUAGCUCAGCAGCAUAAGCGCCUGCCUUGCAAGCGUACAGCUGUGAGUUCGAUCUCUGGUACUGUGGGAAAAAAAAAAAAGACUCCAACACAAAUGGCAUAAAGAGACUAUUUACAGAAGUGAUAGCAGAGAACUUCCCAAGCAUAUGUGAAGGACCUGACAUACAGACAAGUGAGGCAUAUUGAACUCCAACUAGCCAUAAACAAAAUAAAUCUAUACUCAGACAUGUGAUACUCAACAUCCCAGAAAUUCAGCACGAGAACAGAAUGUUAAAGACUAUUAGAGAAAAUAAACAGAUCACCUAUAAAGAAAAACCUAUUGGAAUCACAACAGAUUUUCUUACCCAAAUCAUCUACUCAAGAAUAGCUUGGAGUGAAGUAUUUCAAGUCCUGAAAGAAAACAACUUUCGGGGCUGGGGAUUUAGCUCAGUGGCAUAAGCGCCUGCCUUGCAAGCAGGCAGUUGUGUGUUCGAUCCCCGGUACCAGUAAAAACGAAAAAGACAAAAAAAAAAAAUAAUAAUAAUAAUAAAAAUAAAAUAAAAUAAAAUAAAAAAAAGAAAACAACUUCCAACCCAAAUUGAUGUACCUUGCAAAACUAUCUUUCAAAAUUAAUGGAGAAGUUGGAUACUUCUAUGACAAAGAACAACUAAAGGAAUACAUCACCACCAAACGAACCCUACAAAGACUACUUAAGAACAUUCUAGAGAGAGAGAGAAAAAUGACUAUUGUUCCAGGAACAGUAGCAGAGUGGGAUCAUUGAACCUGGCAAACAACUGAAUUGAGGGGAAAAACAGGGAGCUAACAGCAAGAAAAAGGCAUGGAAAAGACAAUCAGUGCAUGCUGGCCAUAACCAUUAAUGUACAUGGCUUCAAUUCACUAGUAAAGAGACACAGGCAGAGUGGAUCAAGAAACAAGAUCCAGGACUUCCAGGAAAAUGGUGGAACAGUGAGCCACAGAGAAAGAACCUUUACAAGUUUUGGUGUCUAGACCCUGGAAUAAAGCAACAUGAUGAUGAGGAGGAGAAAGGUGGGUCCCAUGGACACAGAAAGGAUCUGAACUGAGACUUGAAGUCCAUGGAGAGUUAAUUCAGGAAUUCAGCAAAAAACAAACAAAACAAAACAGGGACAGUGGACCUGCGGGACAGAACAGCAGCAAAGAAAUGUGGCCCCGACCCCCAAGCACUGAUGGAAGUCUUGCCAGUCCCAGGGGAGAAGCAGCAAAGAAAGAAUGUGGCCCGCAUUCCUGUGCCCUGGCCAAGGUCCUGCCGGCCCCUGGGGGAGAAGAGGCAAAGAAGCAGUGUGUCCCGGAUUCCUGGUAUGCUGGAAGAGGCCCUAACAGCCAGAGAGCAGCAGCACGGAAGCCAUGCAGCCUCCCUGUGUGCUGGUGUGAGCCCUGCUGGCUGAGGAGAAACAGCAAAGAAGCCGCCUCUACUUCCCACCCCCUCCCCCAAUCUGUAAGCAACUAGGAGCAACAUAGGCUGAGAUGAUAAUAACUGAAGUAACUGAAAUAGGGAAGUAACCUGACAUUUAUGUUGUUUGAUUGACUUUGCAAGCCUGGGGUUGGAUCUGGGGAACUAUUUAGAAGACACAAUAUGUAAUGCAGUAACAAUUGUGUAUUUCCUACUGUCCUAUUACUGUUUUGUUUCAUUUUACUGUUGUUUUACUCUCUUUAAAAUAAUAAUAAAAAUCCAUCAAUAUGCUAUAUAAAAGACAUUAACUCAAAAGAAAAUUCAUAGACUGACAGUCAAGGAAAGAAACAAUGCUCCACACAAUAGAGAACCAGAAAAAAGCAGGGGUAGCUUGCCCAUCAACUGCAGAAUGAGUAAGAUACGGAUUUUUACACAAUGGAAAACUAUAGAGAAGGAUAAUCACGAGGCUCUUGUAGGUAAAUGGAUGCAAUUUGUGAUCAUGCUCUUGGGUGAAAUGGUUUGGACUCACAUGGGUGAACAUCAUGUCUCUCUAGUAUAAGAAAUUGAAAUAGGGGCUGGGGGUUUAGCUCAGCGGCAUAAGCACCUGCUUUGCAACUGCAUGGUUGUGAGUUAGAUCCCUGGUACCAAUUUAAAAAAAAAAAAAACUGAAGUAGUGGGAUCCAAAAUGUAUAGCAGAUAUUGUGAAAACGCAAAGGGAGGAAAUGUCUAAAAAGGAAAGGUGAUAGCCAUCGUUAAUUUCCUUUUUUUGGGGGGGGGUACAGGGGAAUCAAACUCACGACUGUAUUACUUGCCAGGCAGGCGCUUAUGCCACUGAGCUGAAUCCCCAGCCCCACCAUCAUUAAUUUCAUAUCAACUUGUUUUAAAGCCCUGUAUCACUUUCAUUGGUUUUACUCUGCUUUGUUUGGUUUGAUUUUAUUAUAUUUGAUUGCAUGGGCAGCUAUUUUGAAGAUAACAAGAGGCAUUAUGGUAGCCAUUGUUGAUUUCCUAUUAUUCUGUUUGAAGUUCUGUAUUAUUUUCACUGUUUUGUUUUGAUUGGCUUCAUUCUGUUUUAUUUUGUUUGGUUUUAUUCUCUUAAAAAAUGUAACAAGAUCUAAAAAUUAUGAAAAAUAAUAUGCUGUUAUCAUCUAGUUCUCUUAAGGUCAUGCAAAAAAUUUGUUAAAAUAGCUACAUGGGACUGCUUAGGCUUAAGGAAACUGCUAGACAAGACUCCUUGGUAAAUAAAGGAGAAUCUGCCUGAAAAUAUUUUAUCCCAGUCUUUAUCCACUAAUGGGACCCCCAAUAAUUUCCAUAGUCUUAUGGGAGACACACUUCAAUGAACACUGAUUUUUUUCUUUUUUUGGACUUUUUGAGACAGGGACUCACUAUGCAGUUCAGGUUGGCCCUGACCUCACUUUGUGCCCAGGCUGGUCUCAAACUUGCAACAAUCCUCCUGCCUCAAAUUCCCAAGGGCUGGGAUUACAGGCAUGUGUUGCCAUGCCCAGCUGCUAAAUAUGUUACUGUAAUAUGUUUACAUUAGCUCCCAUUAAAGGGUUAAGUUGCCUUUGAGUAAAACAAAGAUUUUCUUAUAGAUGUUUCUGGUACAAAAGUAAAUUAAGAGAAAGGUUUCCACAUAGCUGUGACGUUCAUUAUUGCUGAUUUAUUGGUGUACUAAAUAUAUUCCUACCUUCUGGGUGUGCAGGUUUUCAAAGACAUAAAACUAGGGUUGCUUAUGUGACACUUUUUUUUGUACUGGGAAUUAACUUGGGACCUUGUGCCUUUUUUCUUUUAGAUGUAAGUAUCUGCCUUUCUCUUGUGCUUCUGCUUCUUGUGAUAAGAGGCAUAUGUCAAACCAGCAUGAGAUCAACAGUCAAAUGGUAGUUUUUUUUUUAAAAAAGAGCUUAUGUGAUGUGAAUGUUAUGUAUAUCACCACACCUGCAGAUACUCAGGUAUUGAGCAGUCCAGACAAUGUCACAUGCUUCUUUGAUAACAUCCUAUUACAGGGUCACAGGCUGGGCAUGGUGGUGCACGUCUUAAUCUCAGCAUUUAGGAAGGUUGAGGCAGGAGAACUGCUAUGAGUUCAAAGCUGACCUGGGCUACACAGUGAGUUCAAAUCCAGCCUAGAAUAUAUAGGGAGACCUUUUCUCAAAACAACAACAAAAGGAUAACACAUUAGAGAUUCAACUUCUAAAGCAACUAUAACUGAGGCUGCUAAACCCUAAACCAGCAUAACAACAAAUCUAUCAGACUCCUUCUACUGGGAUCCACUAGAUCGACCUUGUGAAGGGAGUUUGUAACUGCUGACUACAACAUGACCCCAGGGCUCCUUAGAUUAGCUCUCUGGAGAAGGCCUUUGACUGAAGUCUCCCCAACACUGAUCCUUCUCAGCUCAAAGCAGCCAGACAGAAACGACGACCCUUCACCACCAACCAUCGUUAAGGAUACCUCUUCAGAGGGGGAACAUCAUAGACAGCUAAGUUAGGUAAAAUAUUACAGGCAGCCAGAUAGUGCUAGGCCCUUGAGGGAGUCAAUGAAGAAGAUGAGAACACAUCAAAUUAUCGCUGGAAGUGAUCUGAAUAAGAUUAAAGACACAAUGCAGAUUUACUUACUUUUGUAAGGAUAAAAGUUUAAGAUUAUUGGUAUCAUGCAUUUGAGAUUUCCUGUAUAAAUAAACUAUGCCCUCAUUAGGGGUGAGCCAUUCUCUUCCACCCACAAGACUAAGACUACAACACUAAUGACAAGACUUGGUCAUUAUCGAACAAGGUUAAUGAUAUCAUCCAUAUGCCUUAUCUACUACUGAAUCAAUAUCAGCCAAGUGGCUAUACUUGUAAUCUUAUUGGUUGGUUAUGGCUUUCACCCAUGUUGUAUCUACCUCAUGAUUUUUCCUCUAUAAAACUUUCUCUGAGCAAUGGGCUCAUUGGUAACUCAUUCAGGACCCAUCCUAUCUCUCAGGAGCUAUUCCUAUUGCAAAAUAAAUUUUCCUAAUUAAAAAAAAGAAUGUGUUAAGUCAUCCCAGAUUCUACUAAUUCUACCUAUUCCCAAGUACUGAGGAUUCUAAAUUAUUCCUACAUUCCCUUUUUUUCUCUGGGUGUUGGGGAUCAAACCCUAGGCUAGGCACAUGCUAGGCAAAUCAUCUGCCAGUGAGCAUCACCACAGCCCACACUUAUUUUCUGAAACCAUCAUCAAAGACUCCAUGGUGUUUCAUACUUGAUUUCUCAAGCAAUUGCUCAAACAAUUAAUAUGCUGAGCAGAAGAACUAGAGACACUGAAGGGAAAGAAAGCUGAUAGCUAGCAGAAUGUUCAAAAGUGACUGCAAAUAUAUCAAAAUGACUUCUAAAAAAUUACACCCUUCCAAGCCAGGCUUACUGGUGCAUGCCUAUAAUGCCAGCACUUGGGAGACUGGCAGGAGGACUGCUAUGAGAGGCCAGCCUGGAAUACACAGUGAGGUUCAAAGUUAGCCUGAAUUACAUAGUGAGACCCUGUCUCACUGAAAACCAAAAUAAUAAUAAUAAUAAUAAUAAUUCCCUUACAAACAAUUUUCUUUCCACAGUGAAACUCCAUUUUCAAGACAAAGAGCCUUCGCUAGCAUCCUGAUCCCUAAGUACUGGUACUAGGGAACUCCUGAGUGAAUGACAAACCUCUGAACCACCUGUUUUGUCAGAUGUAUAAAUAAGGACGACUCAGAAAGUCAAUGUGUACACUACACAAAGGUGACAGUUCUAGGGCUCAGGGUGUAGCUCAAUGAAGUGUGUGCAGCUUUGGGUUGGAUCCCCAGCAUCUCACAGACACACAUGCAGAAAAAAAAAAUAUAUAUAUAUAUAUAUAUACACACACACAUACAUACAUGUAUGUAUAAAUAUACACACACGGUUUCAAAGGUCUUCACAAGUAAGAAAGUUGAGUGGUAGUUAUGCAAGUAUUUAUUUAACACUAUUCUUUGUAUCUUAGACAUUUUAUAAAUAUUAUUUUGUUCCUAUUUAAAAAAAAAAAAAAGCUGGGCAUGGUGGCACACUCCUGUAAUCCCAGCAUUUGGAAGGCUGAGGAAGGCAAAUCAUUGCAAGCCCGAGACCAGCCUGGACUACCAAGUGAGCGCAACGUCAGCCUGAAUCACAUAGUAAGCCUGUCUCAAAAACACACAAAAAAACAAAAAAACCACUAUAACUGGGCAUGGUGGUGCACACAUGUAAUGAGUUCAAGGCCAGCCUGAACUACAUAGUGAGAUCUUGAUCCUGUCCCAAAAAACAAACAAGAAAAAUCUAGCACUCUUAAGUGUCCUAAUACAUUACUCUUAGCUUUUAAAAUCUGUCUUUUGGGGGUGGUGCUAUGGAUUAAAAGAGGGUUACUUUACAAUUUAGCUAUGUUCUCAGCCCAUCUUAUUUUUAUUUUGAGAUACGUUUCACUCAGUCAUUCAGGUUGGGCUUGAACUUGUGAUCCUCUGGUCUAGCCUCACAAGUAGCAAGGAUUACAGGUGUGCCAAACUAGGCCUGGCUGCCUUUGCCUCCUUGAGGGCACUGCAGCUAGUGAAACCUAAUCAAAAGAAAUAAAUACAACUUCUGUAACAAAGAUAGGUGUCUUGAACGUGAUAAUAACUUAAUUCUGCCUUAACAUGAAAGUCUGUUCACUCAGAAAGGAAAUAAAACUAUCCUAGCAAGAACCUCCUUUCACUACUCAGCUGCUGGUUAUUCUUUGAGAUUAAUUCUGGACAACCAGGUUUUAAGAAUAAAAAUAUAGGAAAAUUGAGAGUCUCAAAUUCAGUUUAGAAAGUAGUUUCUUUUUGUUGUUUUUUGAGACCGGAUCCAGGCUAGCCUCAAACGCAUGGUGAUGCUCUUGCCUCAGCCUAAGUGCUGGGAUUAACUACAGGAAUGUGCCACUACACCAAGCCAAGGAAGUAAUCUCUUAAAUGCAUGGUUGUGGGGCUGGGGAUAUGGCUCUGUGGUAGUGGUUCAUCCAGUAUUUGUGAGGCCCUGGGUAUGAACCCUAGCAUAUACACAAGUGCUUGCUUUGGCAGUAUAGGCACUAAAGGUGGAAUGACACCGAGAUUAACAUAGCCCGUGCAUAAGGAUGACAUGAAGUUUAUGAAGCAUUCUGUAUUUUCAAAGAAAAAAAAGCACGGCUGUGCUUUCUUGGCUGUUGUUGUCACAUGAUAACUCAGUGAAAAAAUUAAUGAACAAUGUUCUUACUAUGGCAGAAAAAUAGAAGAGGCCAUUUCCUAAAGCUUCCUUUUACAGAUACUUGUUUCUUAGACUUCUCUAGCAGCAGCCUGCCACUAAAACAUCCCACCCAGAACUGAAGUAAAAUGGAAAAUGCUGGAUGCCCAUUCGUUGUCUAAUCUGAAGAAUCCAGGUUACUUCUGCAAACCUAACUGCUGGGCCUAGUGAUUAAUUAACUAGCCAAUGGUGAAAAACUGCUAUAGCUGGAGAAUGAAACAAUGACUAGUGUAAGACAUUCUUAAACCCGUGUGCUAGCACGUGCCUGUAAUCCUGGCACACUUUGAAGACUGAGGGGCCAGAAUGGGCUCCAUACAGAGUUCCAGACAGCCUGGAAUAACAGCAACAUUGUAUCCCCAAAAGGUGGGUGGGGGGGGUAGGAGUGAGUGGUGGCUCAACUGUGAAGGCCUUGGGUUCAAUGCCUAGUACUACAAAAUAAAAUAAAAUAGAAUAGAAUGAAGUAGGACAUUACAGCCUACUGCAUAUAACCAAUAUUCACAUGGCUGUGUAGGUGUUUCUUACAACCCCACUGGUAGGUUUAUAGGUCAAGCCCUAGGAGUGUAAAGGGAAUUUUUUUUUUUUUUUUUUUUUUUUUUUGUCUUUUUCCUUUUUAUCGGUACCAGGGAUCGAACUCACGACUGCCUGCUUGCAAGGCAGGUGCUUAUGCCGCUGGGCUAAAUCCCCAGCCCC